AAAGGGUAAAGGCUUUCAUGACUGGGAAUUAUUCUCCAUAAUCCCUUAAUGCCAGCCGGCCCGUGCUGAAGUGGAGGAGUGCCAGUGGGGCCUAGAGGAGCUACUGCUAGCCCGCCACUGCGGAACCGCCACUGCUGCCGUGCACUGAAAUGACACUUUCAAUGAGCUGUCCACCAUGAUCCCAAGAUCUCUCUCCUGGUCAGUCACUGACAGCUCAGAUCCCAUCAGCAUAUAUGUGAAGUUGGUGUGGUGGGGAACUUUAUCAAAAGCUUUUUGGAAGUCCAAGCAUACGAUGUCAACUGGAUCAACUUUAUCCACGUACCUGUUGACACGCUCAAAGAACUCCAAAAGCUUUGAAUCUUCCUUCCUAACACCUUUUAACACUCUCGGGGGACCAGGCACCAGAAAAUC